rnacentral:lncRNA from 1 species
AUGGGCCAACACAAAAUACUACUGUUAACCCUAUUACUUUUAGCGGUGGAGCAACAUAAUUGUUGUAACAAGCAAAAUCGAAAUAUCAGAAGUAACAUUGAACUCACGAUCGGAAGGUUUCACAGUCUCAAAGUUCAAAACAGAGAAUAUAUUUAAAAAAAAAAAAAACUAAGAAAGAUGAUCGCAACUAUAAUUGAAGCUUCGAGAUGAAAAAAUCAAAUACGGAGACAAAAUAGAUGUUUGAGGAAGCGGAUUUUACCAGAACAGUGGAGAUUGGAGAAAACGAAAGAGUGCGAAGUGUUACUGUGAUUGCGUCUCUCUCCCACUCCUUCUCUCUCUA